UACGUAGGUGACCAGCGUUGUCCGGAUUUACUGGGCGUAAAGAGCGCGCAGGCGGUCGUUCAAGUCGAGUGUGAAAGCCCCCGGCUCAACUGGGGAGGGUCAUUCGAUACUGAUCGACUUGAAGGCAGGAGAGGGAAGUGGAAUUCCCGGUGUAGUGGUGAAAUGCGUAGAUAUCGGGAGGAACACCUGCGGCGAAGGCGGGUUGCUGGGCUGAUACUGACGCUGAGGCGCGAAAGCCAGGGGAGCGAACGGG
rnacentral:rRNA from 1 species